UGCACAAGCAAGUUUUUCAAUGGUUAUUAAAGUGUUGACUCUGGAGGACUGUUUACAGCUGGAAAUCUAAAGAUUUUUCUCAUCAAUGUACACAAUAAGGACCCCAUUCUUAUCUACAGCAACUGUGACCAUCAUUGUGAAGGUUGCUCCUGCCAGUGACUUCAGCCCUGUAUUUAAAGCUGCACACUAUUCAUUCUCUGUUCCGGAAACGUUGGGAGCAAAGAAAAGGUCUGAUCGUCGUGUACACAGCUAUAAACACGUACAAAUCCAAUGACUGGUACAUUCCUUUUAUCUUCACUCUGAUGGCUAUUUUCUUGCUGGGUUGAUUUCCUGGGUAUGUUUCCUGCUUUGGAAAUAUGGGAACAUUAUGGAAUGCUGUCAGAAAAUGACCAAGGAAGUCUCCAAGGCCAAACCCAAGUAUGUGAUUUUUAUUUCUAAGCUUUUGAUAUAAAGAGCUAAAACCAGUUGAGGUUUGGUAAACUUACUCUAAGGGCUUAUGUAUGCUUUUGAAGGGCAGAGGAAAG
rnacentral:lncRNA from 1 species